rnacentral:ribozyme from 1 species
AGCUCAGAAUUUCCUAUCCCUACCUAUUUGCGGUACCGGCCAUUGUACGAGCAAUCUUGGGAAAAAUCUGAUAAACAACCCUGAUGACAGCUUCGGCCAUAUGUUGACAGGGAAGG